rnacentral:rRNA from 1 species
AUUGAACGCUGGCGGCAGGCCUAACACAUGCAAGUCGAGCGGAUGAAGGGAGCUUGCUCCUGGAUUCAGCGGCGGACGGGUGAGUAAUGCCUAGGAAUCUGCCUGGUAGUGGGGGCUAACGUCCGGAAACGGGCGCUAAUCCCGCAUACGUCCUGAGGAUGAAAGUGGGGGUUCUUCGGACCUCACCCUUCCAGAUGACCCUAGGUCGGAUUAGCUAGUUGGUGGGGUAAAGGCCUACCAAGGCGACGAUCCGUAACUGGUCUGAGAGGAUGAUCAGUCACACUGGAACUGAGACACGGUCCAGACUCCUACGGGAGGCAGCAGUGGGGAAUAUUGGACAAUGGGCGAAAGCCUGAUCCAGCCAUGCCGCGUGUGUGAAGAAGGUCUUCGGAUUGUAAAGCACUUUAAGUUGGGAGGAAGGGCAGUAAGUUAAUACCUUGCUGUUUUGACGUUACCAACAGAAUAAGCACCGGCUAACUUCGUG